rnacentral:rRNA from 1 species
CCUACGGGAGGCAGCAGUGGGGAAUAUUGCACAAUGGGGGAAACCCUGAUGCAGCGACGCCGCGUGAGUGAAGAAGUAAUUCGUUAUGUAACGCUCUAUCAGCAGGGAAGAAAAUGACGGUACCUGAGUAAGAAGCCCCGGCUAACUACGUGCCAGCAGCCGCGGUAAUACGUAGGGGGCAAGCGUUAUCCGGAUUUACUGGUUGUAAAGGGUGCGUAGGCGGCAGUGCAAGUCUGGCGUGAAAGGCGGGGGCUCAACCCGCGGACUGCUGUGGAAACUGGACGGCUGGAGUGCAGGAGAGGUAAGCGGAAUGCGUAGUGUAGCGGUGAAAUGCGUAGAUAUUAGGAGGAACACCAGUGGCGAAGGCGGCUUACCGG